rnacentral:RNase_P_RNA from 1 species
UCAGCAAAAUGAGCAAUCGCUCCCCGACAAUAGCUAACGCAAUUUGACGGGGGGAGGAAAGUCCGAACACUCACGUCUUUAAAAGGGGUUAAAAUGGUAGCGGGUAACGCCCGUCCGCAGUAAUGCGCGAGGUGCGAACAGAAACGCCUGGAACCGAAAGGUGACAGGAGCCCGCCACAACGUGCGUUAGCACUUUGGGCGUGGCGACCCCUGCUUUUAGCGGGGCUGAAACGGCUAAAUCCUUACCUGAGUGCAAGAACAAAGCCUAUAUCAUUGUUUCAUCAGUGAAAAGGGUUAAAAGUAGUUCGCUAGAUUCCGACAGCAAUGUCGAGAACAGACAGAUGAUUGCAUCCGCCAGCUGGCGGAACAGAAUUCGGCUUAUAGUUUUGCUGAGACA